CGUAGAUAACCUGCCUGUAUGACCGGGAUAACAGUUGGAAACGACUGCUAAUACCGGAUAGGCAGAGAGGAGGCAUCUCUUCUCUGUUAAAGUUGGGAUACAACGUAAACAGAUGGACCUGCGGUGCAUUAGCUAGUUGGUGAGGUAACGGCCCACCAAGGCGAUGAUGCAUAGCCGGCCUGAGAGGGCGAACGGCCACAUUGGGACUGAGACACGGCCCAA
rnacentral:rRNA from 1 species